AUUGAACGCUGGCGGCAUGCCUUACACAUGCAAGUCGAACGGUAACGCGGGGGCGAACCCUGGCGACGAGUGGCGAACGGGUGAGUAAUACAUCGGAACGUACCCAGUAGUGGGGGAUAGCUCGGCGAGAGCCGGAUUAAUACCGCAUACGACCUAUGGGUGAAAGCGGGGGAUCGCAAGACCUCGCGCUAUUGGAGCGGCCGAUGUCGGAUUAGCUAGUUGGUGAGGUAAAGGCUCACCAAGGCUACGAUCCGUAGCUGGUCUGAGAGGACGACCAGCCACACUGGACUGAGACACGGCCCAGACUCCUACGGGAGGCAGCAGUGGGGAAUUUUGGACAAUGGGCGAAAGCCUGAUCCAGCCCAUGCCGCGUGUGUGAAGAAGGCC
rnacentral:rRNA from 1 species